GACGAACGCUGGCGGCGUGCUUAACACAUGCAAGUCGAACGGAAAGGCCCUGCUUUUGUGGGGUGCUCGAGUGGCGAACGGGUGAGUAACACGUGAGUAACCUGCCCUUGACUUUGGGAUAACUUCAGGAAACUGGGGCUAAUACCGGAUAGGAGCUCCUGCUGCAUGGUGGGGGUUGGAAAGUUUCGGCGGUUGGGGAUGGACUCGCGGCUUAUCAGCUGGUUGGUGGGGUAGUGGCUUACCAGGGCUUUGACGGGUAGCCGGCCUGGGAGGGGGACCGGCCACAAUGGGACUGAGAUACGGCGCAGACUGCUACGGGAGGCAGCAGUGGGGAGUAUUGCACAAUGGGCGGAAGCCUGAGGCAGCAACGCCGGGUGCGGGAUGACGGCCUUCGGGUUGUAAACCGCUUUCGCCUGUGACGAAGCGUGAGUGACGGUAAUGGGUAAAGAAGCACCGGCUAACUACGUG
rnacentral:rRNA from 1 species